rnacentral:rRNA from 1 species
AUGGCUUCGUCGGAGAAGCGCCGGGCGAGCACCUCGCCGUCGGCCACCGCCCUCGCUCCCACCACAAACCCCGCCUCUUCGUCGCCGUACUUCCUGCCGGAGUUGAUCCCGUUGGUCGCGAGCCGGCUGACGACCCUCGAGGACUUCUUCGCCCUCCGCGCCGCCUGCCGCGCCUACCGGGAUCUCCUCCCGCCGUCGCCGGCCAACCUCGCCUCCCAGGGUCCGCUCCUUCUCUUCCCCCGCAUGGCCUCUGCAUCGGGGGCCCUCUUUCACGUCCCCCUCCGCCGCAUCCUCCGCUUCCGCCUCCCCUGCACAGACCUCCGCUCCACCGAAUUCCACUCCUUCGGCUGCCGUGUUGCCAUCCAGGACCGCCGCCGCGAGCUCCGCAUCCGGCACCUCCUCACAGGCGAGCGAGCCCGCCUGCCUGAUCCCCCGGAACCGUGCUACUCUGAAGAAGUCGUCUUUUCUGCCGACCUCGUCGUCACCUGCAGGCAAUGGGGCCGGGUCCUCUACUACUGCCACAUUGGGGACGCUCGCUGGCGAGCAGCGCCGUGCGAUGAAGGCCACCAGCUUUACAAUAUGAUGUUCGUCAAGGGCACCCUCUAUGUGCUGAUUUACCCGCAUUACCGCCUUGCUGUCGUCGAGCUUGACAAGAAUUCAGUGGUAUUGUCGUUUCUUGGAGAUAAAUUGAGUGUGCCAGAAGUUAACAUUUUUCCAGGUCCAAUGCUCUGGCUAGCAGAGUGUCGUGGUGAGUUAUUGCUCAUUGUCGAGGUGCAGUUCCUUCCAUGUGUGUACCAUGUUUUCUAUCUGCAAUCCGGGGAGGGGAAGUGGGCGAGGACUACUAGCCUUGGUGGUUGCAGCUUGUUCUUUAAUUUGGAUAAGUUUGCCGGUUGCCUUGGUCCAGAUCAUCCGGCAGUUCGGAGGGAGGGACUGCUUGUACUUCACUGGGUGCUCCGGGAAGUGGAGCGAGUAUUCUUUGGCUGA